rnacentral:rRNA from 1 species
GUCAAGUCAUCAUGGCCCUUAUGUCCAGGGCGACACACGUGCUACAAUGGCCGGUACAGAGGGAAGCGAGCCUGUGAGGGUAAGCGGAUCCCAUAAAGCCGGCCCCAGUUCGGAUUGAAGUCUGCAAUUCGACUUCAUGAAGCCGGAAUCGCUAGUAAUCGCAGAUCAGCCAAGCUGCGGUGAAUACGUUCCCGGGCCUU